CUAUCUGUCGUGGAGACAUCCAUGCUUACAGUGUGGGCAAUAUUAUUGGCCCUUUGCUUGGGAAAUGGCCAGGAUGUAGACAAGCGGAUGGUCCUUAGAAGCACCUGCUGUAAGCCUGGCAGUCUAGAUCAAGACAUAUAAAACACAUCUGCUACCAAAGCUUCAGAAGUUAUUCUUUUUUUUUUUUUCUUUAUAAAUGUCAUUUCUGGAAAUGUGCUUUUCAACAUGAGCAUUUCUUGAGGCAAGUGAGACAACUGCCAGGUGAUGAACUAAGAAAAUAAGGUGAAGAAGAAAUAAGAAUAACAAUGAAGAGAAUAAAAAUUCGGAUGAAAUAGAAGAUCCUCUAAUAAAAACUUCUUUCUGCUCCAGUU
ensembl:lncRNA